GAUGAACGCUGGCGGCGUGCCUAAUACAUGCAAGUCGAGCGAACGGACGAGAAGCUUGCUUCUCUGAUGUUAGCGGCGGACGGGUGAGUAACACGUGGAUAACCUACCUAUAAGACUGGGAUAACUUCGGGAAUCCGUAGCUAAUACCGGAUAAUAUUUUGAACCGCAUGGUUCAAAAGUGAAAGACGGUCUUGCUGUCACUUAUAGAUGGAUCCGCGCUGCAUUAGCUAGUUGGUAAGGUAACGGCUUACCAAGGCAACGAUGCAUAGCCGACCUGAGAGGGUGAUCGGCCACACUGGAACUGAGACACGGUCCAGACUCCUACGGGAGGCAGCAGUAGGGAAUCUUCCGCAAUGGGCGAAAGCCUGACGGAGCAACGCCGCGUGAGUGAUGAAGGUCUUCGGAUCGUAAAACUCUGUUAUUAGGGAAGAACAUAUGUGUAAGUAACUGUGCACAUCUUGACGGUACCUAAUCAGAAAGCCACGGCUAACUACGUG
rnacentral:rRNA from 1 species